AUGGGAGGACGAGGUACCACUACCACAGUAAACUGAUGAUGAAAGAUGCUCACACUGGCGGCCCUGGCACUGGCACCAGGACUACGGGUAUUGGUACUACAACGGGUGCCUGUAUCGGACAUGGGUACAGUGUCUAUCCGGUAGACGACUGUACCAAAGAGAACGCUGCCUCCAGGUGCUGGUCGGCCAUAAGUUCGGCCGAGUCCAACACCUGAAGAACGAGAACUACUGAAGGUGGAGCGGAGAGGGUGCAGGAGGCCAAGAAGAGACUGCAACACAUGUAUAUAGAGAUGAAGGCAGGAGACAUGUUAUUCUUUCACUGCAAUCUGUUCCACUGUUCAGAAGCCAACACCUCCGACCACCGCCGCUGGGUCUUCGUCGUCGCCUUCAACAAGAGAUCCAAUGACCCGUACAUGGAACAUCACCACCCACAGUAUACCCCGCUGAAGAAGGUGAAGGACGAGGACCUGGUCAAGUGUGAGGUGGUGGAACAGCUGGAGGGAAAGUGGUUCAUGUACCCCGAGGAGGAGCUUAACUAUAAUGUACAUUGAGGGAGAGUCUCUACUGUCUCUCUCUAUCUCUCUCUAUAUAUCAGCGAGGGAGAGUCUCUACUGUCUCUCUCU